GAAGGAUGAACAUACAGGGUUUGUCGUUCUCGUUGUUUUCGAACAGAAACUCAUAUUAUGAGACCACAAAAUAAAUAUAACUAAUAUUUUAGACAUCUCUAGAAACAAGUCAAUCCGCCCUAAAAAUAUUUAAUGAUUUCGGUAGAGAUUUUGUUAAAAACUGCGACGCCCCAACUAAACCUGCUCGAAAUUUUUUGACGGGUCUUCAAUAAUAAAUUUUGAGCAAUUAAUCUUCUUACUUAAUUCAAGAGUCGAAAUUUGAGGAAAAUUGUUCAACUCUUUUACCUGAAUUCAUUCCUUAUGAUUUUACAAACUAUGGCUAUCAUAUGCACCAACAUUUUGAGCUGGGUUAUUGCGAACACCCGAUUAAUUAGGCGCGUACGCAGCGGGGGGGGCAGGGGGACAAAUCCCCCCACUCCCAAGCCAAAAAAUGCAGAUGCCGGAUAUAUUUUUCAAAAAUAUUAUUGUUUAUAUUAAUUUAUAUUUGUUAAUAUUUAUUCCUAUCUCAUAUUAAAUAUUUAAUUACAUUUAUUUAUCACAUUCAUCUACUAAGUUAUUUUAUCAAUUAAUUUCGAUUUCAAGUUUUCCGGCGUAAUAUUUACUUAUUAUUUUCAAUUUUUU